CAGCCGCCGCGGGAAUACGUAGGUCCCGAGCGUUGUCCGGAUUUAUUGGGCGUAAAGCGAGCGCAGGCGGUUAGAAAAGUCUGAAGUGAAAGGCAGUGGCUCAACCAUUGUAGGCUUUGGAAACUGUUUAACUUGAGUGCAGAAGGGGAGAGUGGAAUUCCAUGUGUAGCGGUGAAAUGCGUAGAUAUAUGGAGGAACACCGGUGGCGAAAGCGGCUCUCUGGUCUGUAACUGGCGCUGAGGCUCGAAAGCGUGGGGAGCGAACAGGAUUAGAUACCCCCGUAGUCCCUGUCUCUUAUACA
rnacentral:rRNA from 1 species